UGCAAGUCGAGCGGACUUAAAAAGCUUGCUUUUUAAGUUAGCGGCGGACGGGUGAGUAACACGUGGGCAACCUGCCUGUAAGACUGGGAUAACUUCGGGAAACCGGAGCUAAUACCGGAUAAUCCUUUUCUACUCAUGUAGGAAAGCUGAAAGACGGUUUACGCUGUCACUUACAGAUGGGCCCGCGGCGCAUUAGCUAGUUGGUGAGGUAACGGCUCACCAAGGCGACGAUGCGUAGCCGACCUGAGAGGGUGAUCGGCCACACUGGGACUGAGACACGGCCCAGACUCCUACGGGAGGCAGCAGUAGGGAAUCUUCCGCAAUGGACGAAAGUCUGACGGAGCAACGCCGCGUGAGUGAUGAAGGUUUUCGGAUCGUAAAACUCUGUUGUUAGGGAAGAACAAGUACGAGAGUAACUGCUCGUACCUUGACGGUACCUAACCAGAAAGCCACGGCUAACUACGUGCCAGCAGCCGCGGUAAUACGUAGGUGGCAAGCGUUGUCCGGAAUUAUUGGGCGUAAAGCGCGCGCAGGCGGUCCUUUAAGUCUGAUGUGAAAGCCCACGGCUCAACCGUGGAGGGUCAUUGGAAACUGGGGGACUUGAGUGCAGAAGAGAAGAGUGGAAUUCCACGUGUAGCGGUGAAAUGCGUAGAGAUGUGGAGGAACACCAGUGGCGAAGGCGACUCUUUGGUCUGUAACUGACGCUGAGGCGCGAAAGCGUGGGGAGCAAACAGGAUUAGAUACCCUGGUAGUCCACGCCGUAAACGAUGAGUGCUAAGUGUUAGAGGGUUUCCGCCCUUUAGUGCUGCAGCAAACGCAUUAAGCACUCCGCCUGGGGAGUAC
rnacentral:rRNA from 1 species